AACGAUUCGUUUUAUUUUCCGUACUUCCUACCUUUCUCUCUCGUCUCUCUCGUCUCUAGAAAUCCCCUCGCAGCGGUCAUCCCACGCCGCCGCCGCCGCCGCCGCCGCCAGAGUCUCGGUUGCCAGCUCCCCACAUGUCUCCGCCUCCCUGGAAGUCCGGAUCACGCCGGCUCUCCUCACCCCCGAGGUCUCAUCUCUCCCGGACCUGGAGAUCCUCUCCAAUCCAGAGUUCCUCGUAGAGGGCACCCGCUCACACCGGCGGGGGGAGAGAAGGUAGGCUGCCCCUGCUUGCGGAAGCAUCGGAGUUACGUCUCACGUUCGGCGCCGGUGGAGGAGACAGCCAGCGCGGGAACAAUGGAUGUGGAACAGCUGCUGUCGUGGUCCUCAUCCGGCCUUGAUUUCAAGAUACGGUAAUAAUUAGCUUGCUCCCUAAUUACCUCUGCUGCUAGCCCGAUAAAAUUAGAAGUAAUACAUGUAUGCUUGGUCUUUAUUUACAGAGAAGUAAAUCGCAUGGUUUGCUGGCACUGCUGCUUCUGUUUGUUUUGUGUUGCGUUGACAGGAAGAAGUUUCUCUUCUUGGUCUGUCAGCAAUAAGGUCAUCUAAUAUUAGUAUGAAGUUUAUCUUGUGUGGCUUGAUCUGACAAUUAUCGGUGCCUUUGUCACACAUGGUGCCGAUAGCAGUAACGACGCUUAGUAGUUGCAGGAAGUCGGAGUGAUUUUAUGACCAUGCCCUUGGCCUGCCCCAUGUGGUGUGAAUUGAACUAGGAUGAGGAGUGACAAAUUGAAGUGAAUUUGUUGUGCUGUAGUCAAGAGGAUUUGAUUGUCUAUUUUCUUCACAACGAGUUACCCUUAAUUGUCAAAAAAAAGAAAAACAGUUACCCUUGGUUCUGUUUGUGCUGUGUACCUGUGUCAUCUGUUAUUCAGUGUAUUUUAUUCAGUUUUACAUCUAUUAAUUUGUAUCUUGAUAGAGAUGCAUUGAAUUCGCAAGUAGUUUUAGUGUUUUUCUAGAUAAUUGAUCCAAGCAGUAAAUUUGGAUUAAGAUUUACUUACUAAACUGGAGGCAGCAUUGUCCAUUGAUAAACAAAUAAACAAAGGAAAAAAGGUUCAGUGUGAACCCAAGCAUAAAAUUGCAAACGUGAUACGUACAUUAACUGUCAAAGAGACACGCUUGGUCGCCUGGGCUUCUGAUUAGUUUCAUAUUGCGCAUCUUUAAGUCUUUGGAUUUCUGAAAGCUUAAGACCAUAUACAGUCCACUUAAGCUUACCAUUUCACAGUAGGUUAUUUUUGGCCAAUUGGCCAAUUUCAUUAUUCUUAAGCUUAAUUUAGAGCUUUCUAUGGCUUCUUUUCGGCAGCAAUAGCAUGUGCUUGCAAUCUGCCAAUCACAUCAUCCUUCACCUUAAGAGCAUCUACACUCCAUUGAAGCUUUUUAGUUGUCUGUAGCUGUUGCGUUGCACUACCAGCAGCUUCUGCUCGCGAUCUACCAUCUGAAGUGGGAUGCAUUGCAUUUUCCCAACAGAAUUUACGGUAGCACCAAGCAGGGUUGCGUCCAUCAUCCUCAUCAUGUCUGAUCUAGGCCGCCAGAGACCCCGAUCUAUAGGAGCGCUGUACACUGAAUUGGUCAUGCGAAAAGACACAAUAGUAGAUCAUACAAUCUACGCCAUGGAGCCGCUGGUGGGGCUCGACGAGGACGAGCGCUAGGAGGUGUGCAUGAUGCCCAAACGUGGCGUCGAGGCCUUCCGCGUCCGCACCCGAGCCGCAUCACUGCCAAGCUGCUACAAGCAUACAAGGCCUUCCGUGUUCAAGCUGAAAAGGCAAGAAGCUCAUUAUUAACAUGGAUAAAAAAAGGUGGAACGCCUUCUUCUGUAGAAGUACACAAUGGUUGGCUGAAGAUUUGGAGUGCUAAAGUUCCAAAAAAGGGGCCUGGAGGAAGCUAUAAGUAAUAUGUGAUUUCUCGUGGCCACUUUUCCCUAAAAAGGGCAGGUUGCCUGGUGAUCUAAAAUUGCCGAUCAGAAAUGUUCUUCAUCGAAGCCCAUUCCAAUCGCCAACAAUUCUGUUUGCACACUCAGGUUACUGCUUUUCUGUGGUGAUUUAUUAAACAUACUUUGGCUUAUGAUCCCCUUUGACGUACACUUGUGCCCUCAACUACACAUUACUUUCAGUUUGCCAAACACUGUAGUAGGUAAUGAACUAUAGAAAGCGGAUUGUUGAGUUUGCCAAGCAUAAUGGCGCACCCAAUUUUGGCAAAUCACCUGAAGAGUAUAUCAAGCAAAGAUGCUUUGAGAUUUUCACAUGAUUAUAUGAGGUUACCAUAAACUCCUGUAUUGCCACAAUAGCUUCUUUUAAUGCAAUAGGGAAUUAUCUUUUUUGUAUCAGGUAAAUAGUUCCUUUCUCACACUUUUUUCAGACCGAGAUCAUUUACUGCUGCUGUGUGGUGUUCUAUGCUCUGCUGUGUUCCUUUUGCUUUUUUUUGGCUUCUUCUCGUUCUUCUUUGGCACCUACGCUUUGCUUGGGGAAACUUUGUACAUGUCAAUACAUAGAUUGGAAUUGAGAUUUGGAGCAAUUUUGUUUGUUUUCCUUUGUACUGAUGUUGCCAUUAUUUGUGUGAUGAUGCCAUUAUAUUGUACAAAGGGAAGAGACAGUUAGAGAGAUUGGAUAGAAAUUACUAACUAAUGUAUUUGUGUUGUAA